rnacentral:rRNA from 1 species
GACAGAGGUCCCGAGCGUUAGGCGGAAUCACUGGGCUUAAAGCGUGUGUAGGCGGACUUCUAAGUACCUUGUGAAAUCCCACGGCUCAACCGUGGAACUGCUUGGUAUACUGGUUGUCUUGGGCCAUCUAGGGGCGAGCGGAACAAACGGUGGAGCGGUGAAAUGCAUUGAGAUCGGAAAGAACACCAACGGCGAAAGCACUCUGCUGGGCCGACACUGACACUGAGAGACGAAAGCUAGGGGAGCAAAUGGG